rnacentral:rRNA from 1 species
GACGAACACUGGCGGCGCGCUUAACACAUGCAAGUCGAACGGAAAGGCCUGCUUUCCCUUGUGGAUUGCGGGUACUCGAGUGGCGAACGGGUGAGUAACACGUGAGUGAUCUGCCCCCAACUUGGGUAUAAGCCUGGGAAACUGGGUCUAAUUCCCGAUAGGACUGCAGGGUGGUGCCUGUGGUGGAAAACGAUUUUCUAGUGGUUGGGGAUGAGCUCGCGGCCUAUCAGCUUGUUGGUGGGGUAAUGGCCUGCCAAGGCGGCGACGGGUAGCCGGCCUGGGAGGGUGGACGGCCACAUUGGGACUGAGAUACGGCCCAGACUCCUACGGGAGGCAGCAGUGGGGAAUAUUGCACAAUGGGCGGAAGCCUGAUGCAGCGACGCCGCGUGGGGGAUGACGGCCUUCGGGUUGUAAACUCCUUUCGACCGCGAGGAAGCCACCUGGUUGGAAGGGUGGUGACGGUAGUGGUAGAAGAAGCACCGGCUAACUACGUG